rnacentral:sRNA from 1 species
UUGUGAUUGGUUAAAUGCCGUCACGUGGUGACCCUCUACGGUCUCAUAGAGGGUCACCACGUGACGGCAUUUAACCAAUCACAA